AUUUAAGGAACGGAGGCUAAAUACGCCACGUCCUGUGGCAACGCCUGCAUGACCCACAUCCUGUGAG
rfam:Bacillus infantis NRRL B-14911, complete genome.